UGGUAUAGUGAAGAAGGUCAAGAAGUGA
rnacentral:piRNA from 1 species